rnacentral:rRNA from 1 species
GCUUUUUGAAAUAUAUAAUAAGUAUAACCUGCCCAGUGAUAAUUUUAACGGCCGCAAUUUUUGUGCUAAGGUAGCAUAAUAAUUUGUCUUUUAAUUGAUGACUAGAAUGAAGGGUUGGACGGAAAAAUACUGUCUCUUAAAUUUAUUUUUUAAUUUUACUUUUAGGUAAAAAGGCCUAAAUAUUUAGUGGGACGAGAAGACCCUAUAGAGUUUUAUAAAAUUUUAUAUUUUUAUUAUUAAUGAUAUUUGGUUUUAUUUAAUUGGGGCGAUUAAUUAAUAAUAUCUAAUUUAGAUAUAUUGACAUUUAGUUUUUUAUGAACCAUUAUUUAUGAUUAAUAGAAUUAAUUACCUUAGGGAUAACAGCGUAAUAUUUUCUUAAAGUACUUAUUAAUGAAAAUGAUUUCGACCUCGAUGUUGGAUUAAAAUACUUAAUUGGAGAAGUAGCUUUUAUAAGUAGUCUGUUCGACUAUUAAAUUUUUACA